AUGUUCCCAUUUUGACAGCAAACAAUUGAUAACUAUUCUUUGAGCACAGUCUUUCAACCAGUUGUGCACACACCUUAUAAUAAUUUCCUCUGGACCACAUUUUCUUAAGUUUCUUAUGAGAACACCAUAUGUGACAUUGUAACAAAAGCCCA